GACGAACGCUGGCGGCGUGCUUAACACAUGCAAGUCGAACGAGACGAUUGAAAGCUUGCUUUCGAAAGUCGAGUGGCAAACGGGUGAGUAACGCGUAGACAACCUGCCUUUGAGAUGGGGACAACAGUUCGAACGGACUGCUAAUACCGAAUGUUCUCUAUUUUCCACAUGGAAGAUAUAUUAGAGAUGGCCUCUAUUUAUAAGCUAUCGCUCAACGAUGGGUCUGCGUCUGAUUAGCUAGUUGGUGGGGUAACGGCCUACCAAGGCGACGAUCAGUAGCCGGUCUGAAAGGAUGAACGGCCACAUUGGGACUGAGACACGGCCCAGACUCCUACGGGAGGCAGCAGUGGGGAAUCUUCCACAAUGGACGAAAGUCUGAUGGAGCAACGCCGCGUGAGUGAAGAAGGGUUUCGGCUCGUAAAGCUCUGUUGUCGGGGACGAAUGUGCAGUAUUUGAAUAAAGUACUGUAAUGACGGUGCCUGACGAGGAAGCCACGGCUAACUACGUGCCAGCCGCCGCGGUAC
rnacentral:rRNA from 1 species